rnacentral:lncRNA from 1 species
AUGUUUAAUAGGCUUUUCCUUAAUGCCUCCUUAUUAUCCACCAUAUCAUCCAACAUUCUGCCAGCCCGUUUAUGUUGGCUAAGUGAGACUCUACUGUAUAUAUUUAGGCUUUCUCUCUCUCUCUGCAGCCCCACCCUGCCUUUCCACGAGGCCCAUUCUGCUCAUCUCCGAGGAGAACCGGAUCUGGGGCGAAUCUGGAGCCUCUCCUUGCAAAAGUUUUCCACCCAGAGGGCAGAGCUGGCUGGUGAAGCCCUUUGCUGCGCAUCUCUAUCGGUUGUUGGUCUUGCAGCUGGAGCUUUGGAGGGAUUCUCCCAAGAAAGGAGGGUGCCAAGGAAUGAAGUCAUGGUUGUUAUCAGGAUCAACGGUUGGCUCCUUUUGCUAGGGCAAGGCACAGAGGCCACUCCCUCGCUGUGUGAUCUCCUUGAAGCUGGCUAUACCUGAAGGCAUGCUGAGUAACCAUGCAGAGAAGUGGGAAGCUUUUAAAAAGAGCUCUGGUGAAGCUAGAUCUUAUGUCGGCCCACACACAUCGGGGAAGCAGAAAGGAAAGGAGGUGGUAAUGGUUUGUGUUACACCUGCUUUUCAUUUUUGUACACACCUAUUAUAGAUAGGCAGCAUGCUGAGUAAAGAGUACAGAAAUUCAGCUGGGAUUCUUCUUUCCAACACAUAAACAACAAAUCCAGAUUACAGUGGACCCUUGCUAUCUGCUGGGAUUUGAUCCUUGCCCCCUCCCCAGAUACCAAAAUCUAUGGAUGCUCAACUAUUUUUUUUCCAUUUUAGAAAGGUAGAAAUGGUUCAGCUCUUGAAGACUCUCAAGGCAACAGCAGAAUGCUUAAAUAAUCAAGAAAGCGAGAGAAAGGAUGGGAACCUGUACUACUCAACUGAAAAUCUUGCUUUAUUUUGGUUACCACCAGUUUAACUCUACUGCCUAAUUAGCCUUCUGAAAGGAAGGCUUUGUUAAAGAUUCUUCAGAAGAAGUGAAGGAUGUCUGUUUGCAUUCAACAUCCUAAAAGGGACUUUCCUAAUUACAUCACAAACCCAUGCCAUUCCUUUCCUGCUAUUUGCUUUCUCAUAGGAAGCUUGGAGUAUCUUUUGUUACAAUCAAAAAGGAGGAAGGAAAGGGAAGGGAAAAAAAGAUAUAUAUCAGCACCUGUAAGACUAAAUGAUUUUUUAUUUUUUGCAUGAGCUUUUGUGGAUCACUUUUUCAGAUGCAGUACCAAGUGGUAUUAAGAUCCGAGACAGAAAGCAUAUACAGUUCUGGAAGUGGAAAAGAGUACAAUAGAACUUGUGGCCUACACACUUAUAAUCUACCAAAAUGAAAGCAUCCCACAAAUCUACAUUCCCAAAAUAGAGGAAAUCCAUCACCAAAAACAGAAAGAAAAGAAAAUAGGAUGCAUAUCUUCACAAAAUGUCCAUAUGCUGCUUUACAAAGAUAAGCACAAAGUUAGAGAUAUAGUGUUCCCUCACUUAUCGUGGGGGUUGUCAGAAAACAGCCAUAAAAUCCUGGUCCCUUUGCUUUAGAUUUAGCAAGGUGCUAACUACUGAUGUACCAGUAGACUAAAGGGUAGUUCCAUAUUUGCAGUCUUCUGCUCUGGCACAUGUAUCUCUGGUUGGUAAUGCAGCAUGCUCUGUCAGCGUUGUGCCUCCUGUUCACCCAGUAAAUGAAACAGUCAUCAGUCCCCCAAAGCUAUUAUUCUGUUGUUUCAUGCGUUUUGACAGAGACAGUGCCUUUCCUUCAUAGGAAACGACCAGUAGUCUGUAAAAUCUGCCCUACUCUUCACUUUGCUUGGGAGGGGACACACCUAACAAUAGUGCUGCAGUUAUUAACUGGGUUAGUGAUCACUUAUACCUUGCAAGAAUGCCAUUACAUACUGCGUUUUCUUUGUUUUACAACAAGCAUUACAGGAUCAAGGAGGUGUGAGCAUUUGACUUCUACCCAAAACAGUCAUUAAGGUAAACCAUUGUUCUGAAGUUGUGGUGACUUUUCAGGUUCUAGAUAAACAUAAUUUCAAGCACAGACGGAAGAUUAUUUUAUUGCAUCCUAAAAAGAUAUGAAUUGCCAUUAACUCUGGUAGUGCAGCGGGUUAAACCGCUGAACUUGCUGACCGAAAGGUCGAUGGUUCGAAUCCAGGGAGCGGGGUGAGCUCCUGCUGUUAGCCCCAGCUUCUGCCAACCUAGCAGUUCAAAAUAUGCAAAUCUGAAUAGAUAAAUAGGUAUUGCCCUGGCAGGAAGGUAAUGGUGCUCCAUGCAGUCAUGCCUGCCAUAUGACCUUGGAGGUGUCUACAGACAACAACACCCGCUCUUCAGCUUAGAAAUGGAGAUGAGUACUAACCCUCAGAGUCAGACAUGACUACACUUAAAGUCAGGGGAAAACCUUUACCUUUAUCUGCCAUUAGCAUGUAUUUGUGAUAUUUGCUUCCUUUUUCAGACUUUUAUUGAAUUUUACAGAGGUUUUCAUUAUAACUAAGUUCUCCCCUGCUUUCUUACCCAUUCUUCCAUUAUUUUGGUUUUACAUUAGAAAAUCGGUUUAGAAGAAAAUAUGGAAUGGCUGUAUCACGUCUACUAACUGAUAGUGUAUUAAAGGCCUUGUCUGAACCCACUCCCAGUCUGGACAGCCAACAAGAAAUGCUUUUAUUUUACUUUAAUAGCUUUAAUUUAAAUGACAGCUGUCUGUAAGUUGGAUAUAUCUUGGACACAUCUUUGUAUACUUUUGGAGGGAUUGCAAUUUUAUAUUAUGAUAAAUUGGAGAUUAUUCUUGGAAGACAUUCUGUGUCUCUUUUAUGUUUUUCAGGAAAAAAAUUAUUGCCUGGAUAAUCAUCUUCUGAAUUUUCGAAAGGGAAAUAGAACGACAUUUAGCAUAUCUGUUUAAACUAACAGUGGGAUUUUGGCAGGCUGAAUAGGAGGAUAUUCUGAGUAAAGUAUGCAAGUGACCUUGGACAGAAACUUACAAUACUGAGAACCAAAGACAAGGACAUAUCUAUACUACAGACUCAAACUGGUAUUAUAGUCAUUUCCUCAUGAGAAUUGUGGUUUGAAGAAAGCGGGUUAGAUUUCAAACAAGGAAUGCCUGAUGCUUGGCACUCCUGCUAAUUUACUGUUACCAGGUUUCCCUGGGAGAAGCCAUGGCACUUAACAAUUUACAUGUUUUUAAUGUCAGUUCAUACAAUAUUUAGCUUCACCUGUAGGGAUAUGUAUACAAAGCAUCCUUAACUUAGAAAGAAAACAUAUUAUAAUGCUGAAUUCAGAGUCUGGCUCCUUGUAGAAACAAGACAAGUUGAGACUGAUUAUCUGGGGAAAUCAUUUCUAUGUCAUCUUUUUGUAGCAUUACUAACCUCUCUAAAACUGCACAGACUGAGCUGUUACUGGCAAAUUGGGUGCCAAGAAAUAUAAGCAGACAGUGCAACUACUUGGGUAUAAUGGUUUGCAGGUUGGGAAGUGAAAAUGUCCCUUUUUACAGAGGGCAAUCUAAUUGAAGACCAGUCAAAGGACAGUUUUUUAAAAUGUGAUUUUAAUCUAGUUUGAUUUGAGAGUAUGAACUUAGAAUCCAUGAGAAGAGAGAUUUGGUUCCCAGAAGUUGCUUUAAGUCAUGUAUCAAUUUAUGGCAAUUCCAUAGACUUCAACAUGUUUUCUUAGGCAAGGGACGCUCAGAGGUGGUUUUGCCAAUUCCUUCCUCUGAAAUAUAGUAGCCUACAGCACCUGGUAUUCCUUGGCAGUCUCCCAUCCAAGUACUAACCAUAGCUGAUCUUGCAUAGCUUACAAUAUCAGGUUGGAUCUGACCCUUUAAGCUAACUGCAUAGUAAGUAAUAAUUACAGUGUGCCCUCCAGAUCUGCGCUUUCUACCAACCACAGAUCAUCACAUCCCAUAUUAGUCAAUGGUAAUUCAGUAAUACUGGGUGUGAUCAACCACAUUUUUCUCAUCCUCAUGGGGUUCCCAAAAAACUCUCCACGUAUAUGGUAGGCUCAGUGUACAUUUUCAAAGUAGGGAAAAAAUCCAAAAUAUAAAAGGAUGCACAUUAUUCAUAACAAAUUAAUUGAUCCACAUAUCAAUUAGAUGGGCUAGUGAAAUUCAUCUUUCAGGCUGGAUCUACACUGCUAUAUAAUCCAGUUCAAAGCAGAUAAUCUGGAUUCAGAACUGGAUUACUUGGCAGUGUAGAUGGGGCCACAAAGAACACUGCUUAACAGAAUAAUAAUAUUCUACGCAUAAGGAGAUAGAUACCACUCAACAUGAAAGGUGUCAAGCUAUACCCAUGUGGCCAAGCAAUACGAUGAGUGAGUUUUUGUAUGGUUGACUAAUCCCACACAUUCAAGUACUGAAAAGUUAUGGUUGGACGCUUAUCAGUUUUUCAGCAUUAUACAACACUCAGCAUGCUUCCCUAACCACAGAUAUAAAUAGGCCUAGAAGCAAUAAAUUUUGAGGGUGUAUUAUACAACUCAAGAAUUUUCUAUGUGAAGUUGUGUAUAUGCUCUGUGUUAUGCAGAAUAAUGUACAGUUGGCCUUCCAAUUUGCUAAUUUCUUUUUUGCAGGUUUUAUCAUUUCUAGAUUUAAUUAAUACAGUAUACCUAGGAAUCUUUAGAUCCUCCAGCACAACUUUAUGUCAACUUCCCAUGGAAGGCAGACUAUAAUUAAACAUGUUUAGAGAAAAUAAUUAAUCUUGUGUUGUCCUUGUUAAUGCAUCAAAUGGAAUUAUAUUCUUAUUUUUAGUAUAGCCCCUGAAGAAGUGCAGCUGUUAGUGGCUGAAGUACAUUUGGCUUUUUAAAACAAAUAAAACAAGUGACCGUCUAUCAGUGUGUGGUGCUUUAUCUCCUGAUUUGCUUUCUAAACAUUUUUAAUCAAGUAAUUUAAGUUUUUCAGAACUGUGCCCCAACACCUAUGAUUUAGUCAUCAAAGAAGUCGGUCCAUCUUUAGUUCUGAACUGAGAGAAAUAACUAUACUGACUAGAUUCAUCUCUGUUGUUUUUUGGACUGGGAGUACAGUCCUUG